GUGGGGAAUAUUGGGCAAUGGGCGAAAGCCUGACCCAGCAACGCCGCGUGAGGGAAGAAGGUUUUCGGAUUGUAAACUUCUGUCCUCAGGGAAGAAGGAAGUGACGGUACCUGAGGAGGAAGCCCCGGCUAACUACGUGCCAGCAGCCGCGGUAAUACGUAGGGGGCGAGCGUUGUCCGGAAUGACUGGGCGUAAAGGGCGCGUAGACGGCUGUCUAAGUCUGGAGUGAAAGUCCUGCUUUCAAGGUGGGAAUUGCUGUGGAGACUGGAUGGCUUGAGUGCGGAAGAGGUAAGUGGAAUUCCCAGUGUAGCGGUGAAAUGCGUAGAGAUUGGGAAGAACACCAGUGGCGAAGGCGACUUACUGGGCCGUAACUGACGUUGAUGCGCGAAAGCGUGGGGAGCGAACAGGAUUAGAUACCCUUGUAGUCC
rnacentral:rRNA from 1 species